rnacentral:pre_miRNA from 1 species
AAUAAAUCAAUAUUUCAGUUUUUACCUAUAAUAUUUGACUCUUUGUCUUAUUUGUUUUUUUACAAUUACUAUUUUUGUUUUUAUUAGAUGAUAAAAUAUGAAUAGUAUAUUAUGUGUGACUAAUUAUUUUUAAUUUUUCUAAAAAAUUUCAAAUAAGACGGAUGGUCAAAUAUUUGACACGAAAACCAAAAGUUUGCUUCUU